rnacentral:rRNA from 1 species
UUGUCUCAAAGAUUAAGCCAUGCAUGUCUCAGUACAAGCCAAAUUAAGGUGAAACCGCGAAAGGCUCAUUAAAUCAGUUAUGGUUCCUUAGAUCGUACCCACAUUUACUUGGAUAACUGUGGUAAUUCUAGAGCUAAUACAUGCAAACAGAGUCCCGACCGGAAACGGAAGGGACGCUUUUAUUAGAUCAAAACCAAUCGGUGACGGGUUUCGGCUCGUCAUCGUACAACUUGGUGACUCUGAAUAACUUUAUGCUGAUCGCACGGUCUCGCACCGGCGACGCAUCUUUCAAAUGUCUGCCUUAUCAACUGUCGAUGGUAGGUUCUGCGCCUACCAUGGUUGUAACGGGUAACGGGGAAUCAGGGUUCGAUUCCGGAGAGGGAGCCUGAGAAACGGCUACCACAUCCAAGGAAGGCAGCAGGCGCGCAAAUUACCCACUCCCGGCACGGGGAGGUAGUGACGAAAAAUAACGAUACGGGACUCAUCCGAGGCCCCGUAAUCGGAAUGAGUACACUCUAAAUCCUUUAACAAGGAUCAAUUGGAGGGAAAGUCUGGUGCCAGCAGCCGCGGUAAAUCCAGCUCCAAUAGCGUAUAUUAAAGUUGUUGCGGUUAAAAAGCUCGUAGUCGAACUUGUGUCCCACGCCGCCGGUUCAUCGCUCGCGGUGUUAACUGGCGUGUCGCGGGACGUCCUGCCGGUGGGCUUAGCUCGCAAGGGCGGCCCAACUCAAUCCCGCCGCGGUGCUCUUCACUGAGUGUCGAGGUGGGCCGGCACGUUUACUUUGAACAAAUUAGAGUGCUUAAAGCAGGCUAAAAUUUUGCCUGAAUAUUCUGUGCAUGGAAUAAUGAAAUAGGACCUCGGUUCUAUUUUGUUGGUUUUCGGAACCCCGAGGUAAUGAUUAAUAGGAACUGAUGGGGGCAUUCGUAUUGCGACGUUAGA